GUAUAAGCAAUCUAUACUGUGAAACUGCGAAUGGCUCAUUAAAUCAGUUAUCGUUUAUUUGAUAGUACCUUACUACUUGGAUAACCGUGGUAAUUCUAGAGCUAAUACAUGCUAAAAACCUCGACUUCGGAAGGGGUGUAUUUAUUAGAUAAAAAACCAAUGCCCUUCGGGGCUCCUUGGUGAUUCAUGAUAACUUAACGAAUCGCAUGGCCUUGCGCCGGCGAUGGUUCAUUCAAAUUUCUGCCCUAUCAACUUUCGAUGGUAGGAUAGUGGCCUACCAUGGUAGCAACGGGUAACGGGGAAUUAGGGUUCUAUUCCGGAGAGGGAGCCUGAGAAACGGCUACCACAUCCAAGGAAGGCAGCAGGCGCGCAAAUUACCCAAUCCCGACACGGGGA
rnacentral:rRNA from 1 species